CGCGGCUACGAUACGAAACUACCUGUUGUAACCGAUCACCACCACACGCAGGGACCUGUUCCGCCUAGGGAGGAAAACGCCGACGUUAUAAUAUUGUAAUAAUAAUUUUACGGCGUCCUUUUUUUGUCUACUAAGAUCUUUAUUUUUUUUAUUUUUUUUUCAGAGAAUAUGAUUCACCAAAAAUCAAUUAAUCUUCUCCGCGUUCGGAAUCCGGAAUUUUUUUCUUCCCCUUCGACGACGCUCGACGGUAUUAUAUAGUCAUAAACAGUCACGUGGAUCUAUAUAAUAUCCCGCCGCAGCAUUCCAAACGAGACACGCACACUAUAAUCAGUAUAUUAUACAGGGUGGUGAUUUGUUAUACGUUUCGCGUAUACCGUAUAUUAUCACGUUAUCGUGUUUAGACGCGAUAAUCCUAUAUUUGUCCCAAAAUACUCCACCGCGAUCUAUAUAUAUACACCGAUGUACAUGUAUACCUAAACAUUUGUUUAAAACCUUUAAAAACGGUACCUAAACCAAUUUCAAAAUGCGGGUGAAAGGGUU
rnacentral:lncRNA from 1 species